GGAUCACCCCGGGAAACUGGGGCUAAUUCUCGAUAGGUGAAGAACUCUGGAAUGAGUCUUCGCCUAAAAGACGCUUGCGUUAUGCUCGUGGGCGUCGCCCAAGGAUGAGGCCGCGACCGAUCAGGUUGUUGGUGAGGUAAUGGCUCACCAAGCCUUUUACCGGUGCGGGCCGUGGGAGCGGGAGCCCGGAGAUGGGCACUGAGACAAGGGCCCAGGCCCUACGGGGCGCAGCAGUCGCGAAAACUUUGCAAUAAGCGAAAGCUUGACAGGGCUAUCCCGAGUGCCAUCCGCUGAGGAAGGCUUUUACCCAGUCUAGAACGCUGGGGGAAUAAGGAGAGGGCAAGUCUGGUGUCAGCCGCCGCGGUAAUACCAGCUCUCCGAGUGGUGUGGAUGUUUAUUGGGCCUAAAGCAUCCGUAGCUGGCUAAGUUAGUCCCUUGUUAAAUCCACCGAAUUAAUCGUUGGAUUGCGGGGGAUACUGCUUGGCUAGGGGACGAGAGAGGCAGACGGUAUUUCCGGGGUAGGGGUGAAAUCCUAUAAUCCCGGGAAGACCACCAGUGGCGAAGGCUGUCUGCUAGAACGCGCCCGACGGUGAGGGAUGAAAGCUGGGGGAGCGAACCGGAUUAAAUACCCGGGUAGUCCCAGCUGUAAACGAUGCAGGCUAGGUGUUUGGACGGCCACGUGCCGUUCUAGUGCCGCAGGGAAACUGUUAAGCUUGCCGCCUGGGGUACGACCGCGA
rnacentral:rRNA from 1 species